rnacentral:rRNA from 1 species
GACGAACGCUGGCGGCGUGCCUAACACAUGCAAGUCGAACGAAACGUUCCGGUCUUUGGGCGCACGGUUUCUUAAGACGUGGGAACCUUCCCUUAAGUUCGGACUAACUCCCCGAAAGGGAUCCUAAUGCCAAAUAAUGUCUUCUCACCAAAGAUUUAUCGCCGUUGGAUGGGACCGGGUUAGAUUCGCUGGUUGGUAGGGUAAUAGCAUACCAAGGAGACGAUGCUGAGCUGGUCUGAGAGGAUGACUAGCCACACUGGGAAUGAGCCACGGCCCAGAAUCGUACGGGAGGGAGCAGUGGGUAAUAUAGGACAAGGGGCGCAAGUAUGAUAAAGCAAUGACGGGUAAGUGAUGAAGGCCGUAGGGUUCUAAAGUUCCAUUAACCGGGAUGAUAAUGACGGUACCGGGUGAAUAAGCUCCGGCUAACUACGUG